GACGAACGCUGGCGGCGUGCCUAAUACAUGCAAGUCGAACGAAGUUGCGAACGGGUGAGUAACGCGUAGGUAACUGCCUCAUAGCGGGGGAUAACUAUUGGAAACGAUAGCUAAUACCGCAUACUGUGAGAUUGACCUGCGUUGUAUUUGCUAGUUGGUGAGGUAAAGGCUCGACAAGGCGAAGAUACAUAGCCGAACUGAGAGGGGGGUCGGCCAGAACGGGAAUGAGACACGGGCCAGACGCCCAAGGGAGGCAGGAGGAGGGAAUCUUCGGGAAAGGGCGGAAGGCUGACCGAGCAACGGCGGGUGAGUGAAGAAGGUUUGGGGAUCGGAAAGCUUGGUUGUUAGAGAAGCGGUAACUAACCAGAAAGGGACGGCUAACUACGUGCCAGCCGCCGCGGUAAUUC
rnacentral:rRNA from 1 species